CCGGUCCAAAUGAUAACAAAUAAAAUCAAAGAUCAUUUACCAGAUUAGGAAGGUUGGACACGUAAUGAAUCUUUUAGAGAUAUCGACCAACGAUGUUGCUAUGGUAGAGACCAACGAUGCUACUAUCGUAGAAGUGUCGCCUUAUGAUUUUUAGUACAAGUCGACCAUUCAUCUUCUUCAGUCGACCACCGAUGAUGUUGUGGUGAUGUCACCUUGUGAUUUUCUGUACAAAUCGACCACUCAUUUUCUCUAGUCUACCAAUAAUGAUGUUGUUGCUAUGGUGGUGGUGUCGCCUCGUGAACUCCAUUACUGAGCUCGAAAUUUCCAAAUCUUUAAGAGCUAAGUGUUUCUUUUUUUCAUUUAGAUUCAUAGUUGACACUGCCAUUACGAAUUGACAAAGCUCUUACUAGAUCUUGUUGCAGAAGCUUCUUAUGUUACUUCGAGUCUGGAUAUCACAUUUUUUCCCAUUUACAAAUGGCUAAAAGGAACCGACCAUACUGCCACUCCUCUUACUCAGUGACUCAGUGAUUCGGGGACAACUUUUAAGUCAAACUGAGAGCUUUCAUACUCUGAAAGGCCCAUUUAAUGCGAUGGAUUUCCUUACGUCCUUAUUAUUUCUUUUGGUUUUGUUUUGGCUAUGGUCGGGGGCAUGUCCCGACUGGAUAUUCUUUGAUUUUUAUUAGAGGCUUUAUUGGACUACUAUGGGCAUGGGUGGUGUCGGUAUUAGUGUUAGCAUUGGUAUUGGGAUUGGUAUUGGAUGGUUAAUUGGUUGUGGAUUUUGGUUUGGAUUGUAGACUUGUUAUCAUGUCUUCAAAUUAAUACUAUUUUAUCUUGUUAUAUGUUUGGAAAUCAUCCGACAUGGGGUAAAGGAUGGUCAAUGGUUUGGGUAUUAGAGGCGGUCUUCGAUCCUGGUUGGACUUGAGAUACCCGACAUGGACAAACCCUGAUUUGGAUCAUAUCAGAUUGGUAUCAGAUCGUAGGUUUAUGUCAAUUGGGUGUCUACAAAGCCGUGUCGAAUAAAGUCUCUUUUAAGGGUGUGUAGCGCACCAUACUCAUAAGGGAGAGGCUUUUUCUUUCUUGAGUUCUAUUUUUGGGCUAUAGAGUCUAUGGUCUUGGAUCUCUCUAAUUCCUAUUUGUUCGCCUUUCAGAUCUUACCUCCGAGAAGAUCUGAUAUUCGUGGGAACCCUUCUGUCCUAACUGAGGAUAAUAGAAAUAGAGCUCAUCCUACCCAGAGGUUCAGACUAGGUCUAGGGCCACUGUAUCUGAUGGUCCUAAUGGAGCUCCAUCGGUUCUUCUAUCCUUCCUUAGGCACCUCAAGCUGACGUGUUUAAUGCCUAAUUUUGCCAGUCGAUCCAUUUGCUCACUUUGUUGGUCGCCUCUCAGACUGAGCGUGUGGAUUCUGUUGCUCCAUCAUCUGGGGCCACUAGAGUUGUCCAAUUUAUGAGGUUAAAUCCUCCUGUGUUUACUGGUGCGAAAGUUGAGGAGGAUCUUCAAGGCUUCAUAGAUGAAAUGAAAAAGAUUUUCUGGGUGAUACAUGCUACUGAGGUGGAAGGUGUAGAGUUUACAACCUACCAGUUGAAGGAUGUAGCUCAUUAGUGGUAUGAAGAGUGAGAGCAGCUCAGAGGUGUAGAUAUAGAGUCCGCCUUGUGGAAUGACUUUUCUAGAGUUUUUCUUGAUCUCUUUUUUCCUCAAGAACUGAGGGAGGUGAAGGCAGAAGUGUUUGUUAACCUGAAGCAAGUCAAGAUAUCAGUCAAGUAAUAUGCCUUGAAGUUUCACUAGUUAUCUUGGUAUGCUCCAAAGUUAGUAUCUAGUAUGAGAGCUAAAAUGAGGAAGUUUACUUCUGGGUUAUCCUGAGACUUGAUUUUGGAGAGUAGCUGCCUUGUUGAACAAAAACAUGGAUAUUUUUAGACUGGUUGUGUAUAUGCAAUAAGUAGAGGAAGAGAAGAGGAAGCAGGUUGAAAUUGGAGAAAGGCAGAGCAAGAAAUUUUGACAUUCAGAUCAAGGAGGAAGUCAACAGUAGAGCGAUAGGGAUGGUGAAAAGUGGCCCAAAAAGAAGUGGAAAAUUAUGGGUCCUAUUCAACGGCUAGUGCUCCCAACCCAAACCGAAAGCCAUUUGAUGACAGGCAUUUUAGGGUGGUGAUGGUUCUAGGGCACUGGGUGCCAAUCUCAGGCUAGUGAGGCCCAAUUAGCUCCUUCCUACAGAUUUUGUGGUCGAUUGCAUCGGGGUUUUUGUGAUGCCGGAAGGAAAAAGUGCUUUAACUGUGGUCAUCGAGGGCAUAUGCUUAGAUACUAUCCCAUUGGUAAGGUUGGUUUUGGGGCAAACAAGGUUUUGGUUGACUCAUUAUCAACCCCAGCACCAAAGGGUAUCUGGCUUUGGCACUAGCCAAAAUCGACUCUAUGCUCUCACUACUCAUCAGGAGUUCGAGGCAUCACCUGAUGUCGUUACUGUUAUGUUGAAACUCUUUUCCUGUGAUGUGUACUAUUUAAUUAACCCUGGGUCUACUCUUUCUUAUGUGACUCAAUUUGUGGUUGUGCAUUUUGGUUUUGAUCCCGAGUGUAUUUUGGACCCCUUUUCUAUUUCUACCCCAAUGGGUGCCUCUGUGGUUGCUAGGAGAGUCUAUAGGGGUUGCGUGGUGUCUGUGGGUGGUCGGGAGACUUUGGUGGAUUUGUUUGAAUUAGAUAUGGUUGAUUUUGAUAUCAUACUGGGGAUGAAUUGGUUGCACUCGUGCUAUGCCUCUUUAGAUUGUCGAACCCGUAACGUUAUUUUUAAAUUCCCUAAUGAAUCAGUCAUUGAGUGGGAAGUUAUUUAUCUAGUGCCUAAAGGGAGGUUCAUAUCAUAUCUUAGAGUCGGAAGUUAUUUCCAAGGGGUGUCUUUAUCAUUUGGUCUGGGUUAAAGAUUCUAACUCGGAGGGUCUUUCCUUACAUUCCGUCCCAUUGGUAAAUGAAUUUCCUGAAGUCUUCCCUGAUGACCUUCCUAGUGUCCCUUCCAAUAGGGAGAUUGAUUUUAGGAUUGAUCUUGUUUCGGAUACUCAUCCUAUCUCUAUUCCUCCGUACAGAAUGGAUCCAGCUGAGUUAAAGGAGCUUAAGGAGCAAUUAAAGGAUCUUUUUGACUAAGGUUUCAUCCGUCCUAAUGUAUCCCUGCGGGGUGUACCGGUGUUGUUCAUGCGUAAGAAAGAUGGUUUCCUUCGUAUGUACAUUGAUUAUCGACAAUUGAAUAAGGUGAUGGUAAAGAAUAAGUACCAUCUUCCAAGGAUAAAUGAUUUGUUUGAUCCGCUUCAGGGUGCUGAGUUUUUCUCCAAUAUUAAUCUUUGAUUCGGGUAUCAUUAGUUAAAGAUAGAGACAGAUAUCCCUAAGAUUGUCUUUCAUACCCGAUAUAGGCAUUUUGAGUUAUUGGUUAUGUCGUUUGGGUUGACUAAUGCCCCGCUAUUUUUCAUAGACUUGAUGAACUGAGUCUUUCAUCAAUUUCUGGAUUUGUUUGUUAUUGCAUUCAUAGAUGAUAUUCUGGUGUACUCUAAGAGUGGGGUGGAUUAUGUCGAUUACCUUCGUAUUGUAUUGCAGACCCUGAAAAAGCAAUAAUUGUA